rnacentral:rRNA from 1 species
GACGAAGGGGGCUAGCGUUGUUCGGAAUUACUGGGCGUAAAGCGAGUGUAGGUGGUUGUCCAAGUUGGAUGUGAAAGCCUUGAGCUCAACUCAAGAAAUGCAUUCAGGACUGGGCGGCUAGAGGACCGGAGAGGAUAGUGGAAUUCCCGGUGUAGUGGUGAAAUGCGUAGAUAUCGGGAGGAACACCAGUGGCGAAGGCGACUACCUGGCCUGUUCUUGACGCUGAGGCGCGAAAGCUAGGGGAGCAAACGGG